rnacentral:lncRNA from 1 species
UAGAACUAGAGGUUCCUGCAAGCACGCAGCCCCUGAAGACAUUCAGCCAGUGACUCCUAAGAGAGCCCAACACUUGAACUUCCCAGAGAGAGCUCUGCCAAAGAUUCAGAGGUGGUCAAGAGGAAAAGCAUUCCACACCCAGGACUGUGCUUACAGAAUCACAAAUGUGUGUAAGUGGGAGAAAUCUCAGAAACUCAAAAGCUGUCCACACCAUGACUAAUGGAAGCAAUACACACAGGCAAGUGAUUUGGAUUGAUAAAUUGCCCCUAUGAGUUUUCGAGGACCAACAGCAGCAAAUUAUAUAUUGCUACAAUUCCCAAACAACCCCUGUAACAAAUAAGCUGUUUUUCUGUGGCGUCAACCAAGUAGUAACUGUGUGAUCUCCAUCCCAGGCCCAGGUAUGUGUCCCCAGCCAGCACCUUGCAGGCAGCACCUGCUUCCCAGGGAGCAUCUUCAGAUGUUGGCGUGCCUGGGGGCUUCCAGCCUGGAAUGGG